AGUGAACGCUGGCGGUAGGCCUAACACAUGCAAGUCGAACGGCAGCACAGUAAGAGCUUGCUCUUACGGGUGGCGAGUGGCGGACGGGUGAGGAAUACAUCGGAAUCUACUUUUUCGUGGGGGAUAACGUAGGGAAACUUACGCUAAUACCGCAUACGACCUACGGGUGAAAGCAGGGGAUCUUCGGACCUUGCGCGAUUGAAUGAGCCGAUGUCGGAUUAGCUAGUUGGCGGGGUAAAGGCCCACCAAGGCGACGAUCCGUAGCUGGUCUGAGAGGAUGAUCAGCCACACUGGAACUGAGACACGGUCCAGACUCCUACGGGAGGCAGUAGUGGGGAAUAUUGGAUAAUGGGCGCAAGCCUGAUCCAGCCAUACCGCGUGGGUGAAGAAGGCCUUCGGGUUGUAAAGCCCUUUUGUUGGGAAAGAAAAGCAGCAGGUUAAUACCCCGCUGUUCUGACGGUACCCAAAGAAUAAGCACCGGCUAACUUCGUG
rnacentral:rRNA from 1 species